AGUGAACGCUGGCGGUAGGCCUAACACAUGCAAGUCGAACGGCAGCACAGUACUUGCUUGCUGUUACGGGUGGCGAGUGGCGGACGGGUGAGGAAUAUAUCGGAAUCUACUUUUUCGUAGGGCAUAACGUAGGGAAACUUACGCUAAUACCGCAUACGACGUACGGGUGAAAGCAGGGGAUCUUCGGACCUUGCGCGAUUGAAUGAGCCGAUGUCGGAUUAGCUAGUUGGCGGGGUAAAGGCCCACCAAGGCGACGAUCCGUAGCUGGUCUGAGAGGAUGAUCAGCCACACUGGAACUGAGACACGGUCCAGACUCCUACGGGAGGCAGCAGUGGGGAAUAUUGGACAAUGGGCGCAAGCCUGAUCCAGCCAUACCGCGUGGGUGAAGAAGGCCUUCGGGUUGUAAAGCCCUUUUGUUGGGAAAGAAAAGCAGCAGGUUAAUACCCCGCUGUUCUGACGGUACCAAAAGAAUAAGCACCGGCUAACUUCGUG
rnacentral:rRNA from 1 species